rnacentral:rRNA from 1 species
AUUGAACGCUGGCGGCAUGCCUUACACAUGCAAGUCGAACGAGUGGCGGACGGGUGAGUAAUAUAUGGGGACGUGCCCAGUAGCGGGGGAUAACUACUGGAAACGGUGGCUAAUACCGCAUACUAUCGGAGCGACCCAUAUGGGAUUAGCUAGUUGGUGGGGUAAAGGCUCACCAAGGCGACGAUCCGUAGCUGGUUUGAGAGGAUGAUCAGCCACACUGGGACUGAGACACGGCCCAGACUCCUACGGGAGGCAGCAGUGGGGAAUAUUGGACAAUGGGCGAAAGCCUGAUGCAGCCAUGCCGCGUGUAUGAAGAAGGCCUUCGGGUUGUAAAGUACUUUCGGCGGGGAAGCGUUACCCGCAGAAGAAGCACCGGCUAACUCCGUGCCAGCAGCCGCGGUAAUUC